rnacentral:rRNA from 1 species
CUUUCGGUUGCUACCUGCAGUCGAACGGCAGCCAUACUAGCUUGCUCCUUGGAUGGCGAGUGGGGUACGGGUGAGGAAUACAUCUGACUCUACUCUGUCGUGAGGGAUACCGUAGGGAAACUUAUGCUAAUUCCGCCUACCACCUAAAGGUGAAAGCUCGGGAUCUUCGGACCAUUGCGAUUGAAUGAGCCGAUGUCGGAUUAUCUAGUUGUAACGGUAAAGGCCCACCAAGGCGACGAUCCGGUUCUGGUCUGAAGGAUGAUCACUGACACUGAAACUGAGCCACGACUCAUACUCCUACGGGAGGCAGGGAUGGGGAAUAUUUGGGGAAGACCCUGAUCCUGAUCCACCCAUUGCGCGAGGAAGGCCUUCGGCUUCGGGUUGCUUUUCCUUUUGUUGAAAAAGAAAGCCUUCUGGCUAAUACCAGGUUGGGAUGACUGCACAAAAAGAAUAGGCUCCGUACAUGUUCGUGCCCGCAGCCGCGGUAAUGCUGAGGGUGUUAGCGUUACUUACUGUUACUGGACGUAGAGCGUGCGGAUGUGAUCGAUUAAUGCCAAAUCCCAAACCUUGGGCUCAAACUGGGAACUGCACUACAUACUGGGCGACUGUAGUGUGGAGGUGGAAUUCCGAAUUCCUGGUGUAAAUGCGAAAUGCUGCGAGAUCAACAACGAUGGCCAUGGCAGCCUCCUGCUACCUGAAUGACACUGACACUGAAGCACGUGAGGAGUGAACAGGAUUAGAUACCCUGUACCCUGACACCCCACACCAUAUCAAUGCGAACUGGAUGUUGGGGGCCUUUGAGCGCAGCUAUCGCGCUAACGCGACCACGUGGGCCGUCUGGGUCGUACGAUCAAACUACUGAGACUUGACGAAUUGCCGGACGACCCGCACAUGAUGUGGAUUAUGUGGUUUAAUUCGCAUGAAAACGCUUACCUACCCUUAGCUGUGCUUGACAUGUCGAGAACUUUUCAGAGAUGGUAUUGAUGCAUCCGGGAAACCU